GCGCUCGCAUCCCGUCGUCCUGGACGCUCACCGGUCCUCGUGUCGUCGAGAUUACAACGCCGCCGCGACGUAUUCAGUCCGUUUUUAUUUCGCGUUUCAUUUUGUAUUUCGUUCCGUCCAAAUCCCUGCCGGCCUUGACGCGCGUGUUUUUCGUAUACUUAGACGUUGUUUUACGUCGAACUCGAAACAUAACACAUAAUUUAUUAUUUUUUGCUUCAUUCAUUUCCGCACCUCUCUCCAUCCCCCUGACCAUACCCAACACAAAGUUUUCAGUUAACUUGUUAUUGGAAAAAAAAAAAAAAACGAAGUCUCCUAAAAUGUUUGCCGCACAAUUAUUGUUCACGCCGGCACACGUGCCGCCGCUGCAACUGUCGUACCACCGUCACUAGGGUUUGAUUCGGAAGUGAUGUGUACAUAUUUUCGGUGAAUAUGUAUAUUCGAACGAAAGGAUCGAAAAUGUGGGCUUGGCGGUCUUGAGAAGAACCGGGUUUUUCAUAUUCGCGGCCAAAAUAUGAUGUUUGGAAGCAAAAAGAAAG